AUGCAGGUCCCGCGCGUGGGCAGCCUGUGAACCAUGUCAGGCGGGGAACCGAGCAGCAUUAAGCGGUGCUUGCCCAGUGCCGCGGUCAAGCCUGCAUCUG
rfam:Subdoligranulum sp. 60_17 Ley3_66761_scaffold_661, whole genome shotgun sequence.